AGGUGGGUAGGCUGGAGGCCCCCAGAGCUGGGGGCUUGGGAUGUUCUGACCCUGAAAGCCUGGACAGAACAAGAGUGGGAGAGCAAGGCUCCCUGCAGUCCCGGGGCCCUAAGCCCACAGUGCUCUGGGCUGUGUGCAGAGCUAGCCCUCCAGGCCACCUAUAAUUACCUUUCAGCAGAGCUCUGAAGAACUGGGCAGGAGGAGCAAUUUUCAGGUUUUAUUUUGAUUCCCAGACAGUGCCCCCGGGCAACCUCAUGCCAGCUGGCUGCUACCAGAUGGAGACAAAAGUUGAUUUCUUUGGGGAAGAAGUCCUUCCUCAAAUGAGGCUGACCUUUGAGCACAGGGUUCCAGGUUCAUAAUUCCAUGGCCUGCACAGACCCCCUCUCCCCAGGUCCCAGGGGCAGAAUCUGCUCUGGAGAACACAGAGGAGCCAGGAGAGCUAGUGAGAAGCACUGUGGGGCCUGUAAGACACAGCAUGGAGCAGCCACACAGAAGUUAUGCAGAAAGAGACUGGCCAGACUUCCGCUGAGGUUGUAUGGAGCAAGGGCAGCUCUGAGCCUGAGCUGUCUCUGGAGGCCACAUAUCCUUGCUCGCUUGCACCGAGCCCUCCUCUUGUGAUUGGACCCUGGACCCCAGCAAGAACACAUGCACAUUGGAACUACCUAUGCUGCCGGACAGCUGCUGUUUCACAACCGCACUGAAUUCAGCACACGGAAGCACCCACGAAGUGCUGGGCAGUUCAGGCGGCAGCUGAGGGCUCUGCCUGCUCUCGGUGAAGCCCAUCGCCCAGAUGGAAAGCAGGUGGCGCUGACUGCUGUUGCCCCUCAGACCCAGAGGACUGAGCCGCGCAGCGAGUUCUCCGCCAGGACCCCUCCCCCAGCCUCCAGCUCGGGCUGCGCCUGGGAGACCUCUUGUGAUCUCUGGACCACGACCCGCUUCCAGCUUCAGGAUUCCAGUCCGAUUUCCCAGCAGUGCACCCCUGAGGGAGCUGGCAGCCCGAGCCCAGAGUCAGGGACAAAGGGCUGGGUGGGCCCCUCUGCUCUUCGGGGUGCAGAUGUGGAAAUGAAACGGGGCUUCUAUGGGCUGCAGAACUGGCCCCACUAUGGCAUCCAUCUUUUGUCCAAAGAAGGGGCUGGGGACCCCCUAUAA
rnacentral:lncRNA from 1 species